rnacentral:pre_miRNA from 1 species
AGUGCAAUUGCUGGGUCAUAUGGUAGUUGCAUAUUUAGUUUUUUAAGAAACUGCCAAACUGCUCUCCAGAGUAGCUGUAUCAUUUUCCAUUCCCACCAGCAAU